rnacentral:rRNA from 1 species
UCCUACGGGAGGCAGCAGUGAGGAAUAUUGGUCAAUGGGCGAGAGCCUGAACCAGCCAAGUCGCGUGAGGGAAGACGGUCCUAUGGAUUGUAAACCUCUUUUGCCGGGGAGCAAAAAGCGGUACGUGUACCGCAUCGAGAGUACCCGGAGAAAAAGCAUCGGCUAACUCCGUGCCAGCAGCCGCGGUAAUACGGAGGAUGCGAGCGUUAUCCGGAUUUAUUGGGUUUAAAGGGUGCGUAGGCGGAAUGCCAAGUCAGCGGUAAAAUCGCGGGGCUCAACCCCGCUCCGCCGUUGAAACUGGCGUU